rnacentral:lncRNA from 1 species
CCGCAGCCGCCGCGUCGCCGCCAUUUUUUAAAGGGUCCGCAGCCUGACUCUGCGGAGUAAGGGGGGCUGGAGCGGGGGGAUCGGCCUCGCCAGUGCGCAUGCGCGAGGCCCGAGCCGCCGCUUGGGCCACAGUGAAAGCCACCGUUGCCCGGGGAUGGGUCCCUGACACUUGGCGAAGUAGCAGCCCUGUGUGAUCGUGCGUCUGAGUCUGGGCUGAGACCAGUCCUGGCCAGGGUAGUUACCAGGACGGUCUCCGGAGGCCGGGAUUCGCGGAGGGUCCACCAGCAGGAAGAAACCCCAGGAGGAAGAAACCUCAGACAGAUCGCCGGCGAGGCAGCGCGGGAUCCCAGCCUCAGGCGUGCGCGGACGGUGUGCGGCGCACACAACCAAGCUUAGGAGCCGACUGUUAAGAUGCCCCAGUGACACGGACAAGUUUCUCCUCUGCAACCCAAUGAGAGCUGCUGACCACGAGAGCAUCGCGGGACCGCCAAAGGAUUCUGGAAAAUGUGGUCCCGGGUGGCCAGUGUGCGCUGACCUUCACCUGAAGGUACGGCUUGAAGGAAACUUCUGGAGGGUGGGGUGGUGUUGAAGAGAAGGCACAAUUGUCACCAUUUUGUUCAACAUGGGCGUUUUCUUUGUGCAUUGAUUUGCAUUUUUAAAGGAACUCCUCCUCAAAACAGAAGAAGCCUAUAAGACUUUAACCUGGAAACUACUCAGGGAAUCUGGAAUAUUCCUU